AAAAAAUAUGUCAUGUAAGUUACUAGCAGUGAUUAACAGAUUAUUGCCUCCUUUCUGCUUAAAACUGACUUUAGAAUGAUUUAAGAGGUUUGACGUUGUCAUCUGAUGGUUAACAAUCACAUUAUUCCGUUUGAUCGCUUUGGGUGUAGACAGUCAGCCGCAGAGAGUCAGA